rnacentral:rRNA from 1 species
CGGGGGUCGGGGACCGACCCCCGUGGAACACACCACGACCCUCGACAAUGGAUAUCUCGGCUCUCGUCUCGAUGAAGAACGUAGCGAAAUGCGAUACCUUGUGCGAAUUGCAGAAUCCCGUGAAUCAUCGAAUCUUUGAACGCAAGUUGCGCUCGAGGCCUCGGCCGAGGGCACGCCUGCCUGGGUGUCGCGAG